GCAACUCGACUACAUGAAGCUGGAAUCGCUAGUAAUCGCGGAUCAGAAUGCCGCGGUGAAUACGUUCCCGGGUCGUUGUACACACCGCCCGUCACACCAUGGGAGUCGAUAACGCCCGAAGUCAGUGACCCAACCGUUAAGGAGGGAGCUGCCGAAGGCGGGAUUGAUAACUGGGGUGAAGUCGUAACAAGGUAUC
rnacentral:rRNA from 1 species